AUUAAUGUUAUGGUCUUUCUUUGGUUAGGGGGUCAUACAUUUGGUAAGAAUCAAUGCCGGUUCAUUAUGGACAGAUUAUACAACUUCAGCAACACCGGUUUACCUGAUCCUACCCUCAACACUACUUACCUCCAAACUCUUCGUGGACUAUGUCCACGUACCGGUAACCUAAGCGCCUUGGUGGAUUUUGAUCUGCGUACACCUACGGUUUUCGACAACAAAUACUAUGUGAAUCUAAGAGAACAGAAAGGUCUUAUCCAGAGCGACCAAGAAUUGUUCUCUAGUCCUAAUGCUACUGACACAAUCCCCUUGGUAAGAGCAUAUGCUGAUGGCACACAAACAUUCUUCAAUGCGUUUGUGGAGGCGAUGAAUAGGAUGGGAAACAUUACACCUCUUACGGGAACUCAAGGACAGAUCAGGCUGAACUGUAGGAUGGUGAAUUCCAACUCUCUACUCCAUGACGUUGUUGAUAUCGUUGAUUUUGUUAGCUCUAUGUGAGAAUAGUGACUCAAUAUGUGGCUACCAAAAAUAUAUAUAAGAUAAAUAAAGCGCUCUCAAGCUGUUACUUGAGAUUAUUUUAUUUUAAAUCAUUGGCUGUUGUCUCACACUGUAAUCGGAGAUGACAAAAGUUUACUGUCUCAGACAUUAUCUCUGCGAAAACGGCAUGUUUUGGUAAAACUUUACUAUCAAAUGGUUUUAAAGCAUGUGAUCAGAGGCGAAUCUAGAACACAUUUUUAGUGGAGGCACCAAAUAUUUGAAAAAAAUAGAAGUAUGAAUUAAGGUAAAAACAUAACUAAAUUUAAAAUUUUAGAAUGAGAAGAGGGGCAAUUGAACUGCUUCUUUAAGAUUUUAACGGGUGCACCUUUAACCAUUUAGUCCAAAUACCAUCAAAUUACUUAAACAAAUCUCAUUUUCAGAAAUUAUGGGUGCAAGUGCACCCAACACUAUCAUAGUAGCUUCACCCCUGAUGUGAUUGUGUAUAUGACUUGCUCUUUAGAUUAUAAAGAAAGAAAGAAAAAAAGACUUACUCUUUAAAUUAGGUUUAUAGCCGAAGUGAACAUUGGUGGCUUGUACUAUCACUACAAAAAAGAUAGUCUUGCAUCAUUUAUUUUGAAUAUUUGCAUUAGUUAUAAAUGAUGUAAAAGAGUUUUACAUCACUUAAAAAAGUGAAUCUGAAAGUAGUGAUGCAAAUAAUUUACAUCAAUUAUUGCCACCAGCUCUCUUUGGGACCCUCUCCAGCUCUCUUUGGGUGUUGCCACCAAACCAUGAGGACGGAGAAGAUGAUGGCGUCUAAAAGUUUAUGUCGCUCUGCUUAUUCUUAUUCAAAUCAUUAUCUCCCUCCUUGUUUUGUUUCUUGCAUCACAUGAAAACUGCACUUGCAGCAAUAAAUAUGCAGAGGCAUCCAAGAAACAUGUCCCAGAGCGAUCUGUAAGUGAAGUUGUAAACAUUUCCUGUACGGUCCACAGGGUACAUGUAAUAGCGUCUGACGAUGGCUAUGAGAAGUAGAAACAUUGUGAAUGAUGUCAAGAUCACAACACCAAGCCAUAGUAAGCUGUUGGGUCCAAGAACAUGUGAGAUGGGUGAAUCUUAUUGUUCGGUUUGAACCAUUUGGUCUUCACAUGAUUUCCAUCAGCGGAUGUUGUUGUUUGCGGCUCGUUAUCCCUUGUUACGUAGGCUUCUAUUUGAAGCUUCAACUUAAAAAUAUCUGAGACUGAUAUGCCUGAGGGAGGGAAGAUUAGGUCUAAAAGGGAAAGAUCUUGGUAAUGUUUGAAGGAGCAAACAAGAAGAAGAUCUGGUAGCUUCGUGGUCAAUAAUAUUUUGAAAAUUUAAAAGGGUUGUGAUGCAUCGAUCUUGUUAGACAACACGACAUCAUUCCGAACAGAGAAAGAUGCAGCUGGAAAUGCAAACUCGGCUCGGGGAUUUCCUGUGAUUGAUAGAAUGAAAGCCGCAGUGGAGAGGGCAUGCCCGAGAACCGUUUCAUGCGCAGAUAUGCUCACCAUCGCAGCUCAACAAUCUGUCACUUUGGUAUGUUCCAUUGAUUCGUUUUCUUUUAUUCAUUAUUACAAAUACUGUUUUGAAUUAAGAAUAUCAACAAGAAAACCUGAUUUUGUUUUGAAAAAAUUGGUUGAGAACUAAAUAUUGAAAACGCGUGAUGACGUGACAUAUAAGAUUGGAAAACAGAAUUUGUAAAAUAAAUUAUAAUCUAUAUUUAGUAUCAAUUUUUCACAUGCGACACAGACACUGUUUUUUUCUUUCUUUUCUUUGACACAGACACAGUUAUGCAAAACUAAUCGGAAAUAUUUAAAACGCGUUGUCCCGUGAAGAAAAACUUGGCAUGUUUAAUAUAGAUCAUUGACAAAAUUAAAUACCAUUACUUGAUUAGAUAAGACCACUUUUAUAGGUAACCCAUGAUAAUAGUUAUCAUAUUUUUUAAGAAAUACUGGAGAUGAAAAACUUUGCUUUAAAUGUAUAAUCAAUGGAAUUAAUUACAUGUUUGUCCUUUUCCAUUUUCUCCUUGAAAAUUCCGAAUAAUAAGAAUAAUGAAUAAUCUCUGUAACAUUGGAACAAAAUUCUCUGAAAACAAUAAUUAUUCUGAAUAUAAAGGUUUCUAUAUCAUACUGUAUUAUAUAGGCAGGAGGCCCUGCAUGGAGGGUUCCUUUGGGGAGAAGAGACAGCUUACAAGCGUUUCUGAAUCUAGCUAAUGCUAAUCUUCCAGCUCCAUUCUUCACACUUCCACAACUUAAAGCCAGCUUUAGAAACGUUGGCCUCGACCGUCCUUCUGAUCUCGUUGCUCUUUCCGGUAAUUGACAAAAACUUAUUAAAUACAGAUGGUAUAUAGUUGAAACUAGCGAGUUUAUUAUUAAUGUUAUGGUCUUUCUUUGGUUAGGGGGUCAUACAUUUGGUAAGAAUCAAUGCCGGUUCAUUAUGGACAGAUUAUACAACUUCAGCAACACCGGUUUACCUGAUCCUACCCUCAACACUACUUACCUCCAAACUCUUCGUGGACUAUGUCCACGUACCGGUAACCUAAGCGCCUUGGUGGAUUUUGAUCUGCGUACACCUACGGUUUUCGACAACAAAUACUAUGUGAAUCUAAGAGAACAGAAAGGUCUUAUCCAGAGCGACCAAGAAUUGUUCUCUAGUCCUAAUGCUACUGACACAAUCCCCUUGGUAAGAGCAUAUGCUGAUGGCACACAAACAUUCUUC
rnacentral:lncRNA from 1 species